UAAGCCACUCUUAAUAAGCGUUCUUUUUAAGUGAUAAGGCAACGCAAUUUAAGCGUUGCCAAAUCACAAAGUAAUUGACAACGCUUAUUCAUUCAUGUGGCAACGCUUUCAGAGUGUGCUAAGCUUAUAUUCUAAAAGCAACACUUUCCAAGUGUGCUCUAAAAUAACCCAAAAAAAUAUUUUCCUCCCCCCACAAAAUUCCCCCCUUUAUUGCUUUUAGUGAAAUAUUCAAAUAUUUUCCCCAUUUUGAAAAAGCAAAUCAGGUGCUAUGACCAUCCUUUCGAAAUCGUUCGUUAAGUUUGUCUCUUCGACUCUUCGAAACCUCCGCCAAUUUUUGAAAUCUCCAUCGACACCACCUUUGUGAGUUUCUUCAGGCUUCUAGAAGUUUUACCUCCACAAGGGAUACAGGGCCACUCAAGUUCAAGGAACCGAUCCUUCACGCACUUUCGCAGAGGUUAGAUCAUUUUAUAGCUGAGUAUUGUAAAUUCUACCUAGCUUACCUAGUACCUACACCCUCCAACGCUACUAUUACAGGAAAGUUUUGGUGAGCAAAUUGGAAAUGGCAGCCAAGAGACAAUUUGAUCUGUUUGAGUUUAAUGAUGAAGACUUUGGACUACGAUUUUUUUAUUCCUGAUACUAUAAUAAUAUAUUUGAUUUUGCAAGGCUAGCAAUUUGCUUUAUUCGUUGAUGUAUUA